GACUUCUGUGGAUGUCUUGUUUGUGCUUUUUGUGCCCUACGACAUCUUCACCUAACUCAAGGACACUAAGACUUCCACUGAUACAAAUAUGCAAAUCAACA